rnacentral:rRNA from 1 species
GAUGAACGCUGGCGGCGUGCUUAACACAUGCAAGUCGAACGGUGCAGCGCCUUCCUUUUUGGUCGGUGUGGUAGCGUGGCGAAAGGGUGCGUAACACGUGAGUAACCUGCUCCCUUCUUCUGGCUAACCGCAUGAAAGUUUGGCUAAUACCGGCUAAUCUGGGUGUGUCGUAUGUUGGGUCUGGGAGAGCUUUUGUUUCGGUUGGCGAUGGGCUCGCGUCGUAUCAGCUUAUUGGGGUGGUGAGGGCCUACCCAGGCGGGGAGGGGUAGCCAGCCGGAGAGGGUGAGCGGGCACGCGGGGACGAUGAGACAGACGGGGCCCGUGCGGGGGGCAGCAGUGGGGAAUAAUGCACAAGGGGCGCAAGCCUGAUGCAGCAACGCGGCGUUGAUGAUGGAGUCCUGCGGGUAGUGAACCGCUUUCGCGAGUGAAACGUGCCUGCCGCGUUUGAGGAUGGGUUGACGGUAGCUAGAGAAGAAGCGCCGGCUAAAUACGUG